UUCCUCCACCUCCAAACCUGGCACGUCCUUAAAUGACCCUGGCUGUUAAUAGGACGUUAAACAAAACCACAAACAAUGAUGUCAGAGUAGAUGUUAAUUUGAAGUGUUGAAGGAAGUACAGUUAUUAAUUUUCCUUCCAUUAAACAUUACACAAAAACAAAGAAAAAUUUUAAAAGUCUUUGUUAAAUAAGUAGUUAUUCUAGUGAACAGGAAUUUCAUUGGAUAAAAUUUGAAGCAGAUUUUAAUCAUAAAUUUGAUUUUUUAAGGUAAAGAUUAAUUAGUACAUGUGGCAAAUAUGAUUCCUAGUUGAGAAACCAUCUGAAGGUAUAAUGGAAUUUGUUUGUUAAGUGGUCCAACUCCAACAUAAUGGUUGGUAAAUAAUAGCUAUUGUUCCACAUUCACGUGCAACACUCAAGGGGAGAGCACUCUAGUUUGGACAAUCUACUUCUGUCUAUGUAUGACACAGAUAUCUGACUAAACUAAGAAAUAAUCUUUAUAAAAUGCACUGCUUAGUGCAUGGGUUUGCAGACUGGUGUUUAUUUACAAACCUUGUUAGUCUGGGCCUAAACGGUGAAUUGCUAUGUUUUAAUAUAUAGAAAAUUCAGAUUACUGUACAGACAAUCAAAAUAUUUGAUCCAAAAGUUUCAGUUUGGAAGUUUUAUUAGGAAGCGUCAGACUGACAAGAUUUCAUGGUGUAUUGUCUCUAACUUAUUGUUGAUCAGAAAUCAUAUUUCUGAAUUUGUUGCAACCUAAUGGUCACCGAAUGCCAUUGUUUGCCUUUGAUGAUGUUACGAUAUUGAGCCUUGGUACAGUAUAUUGUUGAAACCACACAUUUCACCUGUAGUUCAUCAAAUAAUUUUUAGAACUUUUUUUUUCAAAAUAUGGAUUCUCUUAGAGAGAUGUUUAUGUUCAAAUAGUGGCAAUAGUUUCUUACAAAAUUAUUUUGUUUUUUGUUGUUUGAGGUCGUUUCACCUGUGUAAGGGGGAUAACUCUUAUAGAACCUUGGUAUGACCCGGUGAAUCUUCAUGCAAAGUAAAUCGGAUGCAUUUCAUUGACUUUAUUUUUAUAUGUAGAAAAAUAUCCAAGAUUUUUACUUAAUAUUUCCAUCUUAAUCAACCUGGGUUUCCUAUACAGAGUCCUCUAUAGUAUUUAUCAAUGGAAAGCAAUUAAAUGAAUACAUCUUGACCAUUUUAUGUGACAGGUGGUGACAGAUGUGCUUGACCAUACAGUAUUUAAUGGCCUUGUAUAGAAAUUCACAAUAUGGACAUUAAAAAUGUAUUUAACAUGUAAAUAUUGUACAUAGCACAACACCAGGAGCAUAAAAUCAAACAACGAUGCUUGUAUUCAAUUUAAUUUAUUUGAUUUCUUCAAUUUCUGGCUUCAAUGCUGUUCAACUCUAUAAUUUUUUUUUUCUCCCGCAAUUUUAUCCUUGAAAUAAUGUUGAAAAUAUUCAUGCCAAGAAAGAAAAAUGAAAUUCAGCGUCUUUGAUAUAAACAUAUAUACUAUAUAUGUUAAGAUAAAUAAUACCGCUUUUCUUACUCAAUGGAAAAUUUUGGAUUAUGUUCUAACAUUGCUGAUUAAGUUUUAAAUAUUAUACCAAAGUUUACGUGAAAUGGGGUGUGUAUGACAUGUACACACUUUGUCACAGUUCAGAAAGUGCUGUUCUAUUUCGAUAAGUGCUAUGUGGUAUCCUAGUGCAUACACGUGUUAACACUAGAAUUCCAUAGAAUCUAUUAAUACAGUUGUCAGUACGGCAAACAAAGUUCAUUAAUCGGUAACUUUGUUUGAGCUGAGGUACAGAAAUCUAUUAAGAACCUAGGUUUGAUAUAUGUUAAUGAUUUGUUUGAGCCGAGGUGAAGAAAUCUGUUGAGAAUCUGGUUUUAGGAUGAUGUAUGUUAACAAUUUGCUUGAUUUAUGUUCAUGAGCAGCUUUAUUUUCCCCUAGACUAUAGUUUGAACGUGUUAUUCCACUCUUUGUUAUUGUAGAACCUUAUAGCUACGAUCCUUUACCCGAAAACCUAGCAACAUUCCAUCAGGUUUACAUAGACAAUGCUUUCCCUGUUUAAACAAAACUACAGUGACGCACAAUUUCUAGAAAACAUUGCAGAAGGAAUUCAAAUCUUUAGAAAAGUAAAGUGAAGCCUUUCAUUCCUACAUCAGAAUAUGUAGAUCACAGUUUAAUUCAAUAUUUGAUUGAUUUUCGUAUCUUCUAGAGAAAUCCAGUUUGUUAUAUUGCACAUACAGAUUGGCGUAUGUUUCGCUUCAGUGUGAUAUCGUAAUAUAACCAGAUUUCAGCGACGUCGUCAGAUGCUGAGGACGCUAGGAAUUCCCGCCUUUCCCAUAGAAAAUUUUUGCGUGUUAUUUUAUGUGCCAUGCAAUGCAAGUACUGGGUGUGAGAAAGAACCUCUGGAAUGGGGAGGACAUCUUACCUUAAAUUGGUCACAAAAGGGGGAGGGAGCUGCAAAAAUCGAGUAAGAGAAACAUCGUGUAGUAGGCAAAUGUGUCCCAAGGCAGAGUGACCAGACUUGUAUACACCUCUUGGCAAAGGUAGUUUUUGGCAUGACCUUCAUUCAGACAACUAGUAAAAGGUAGUGUAUCUGUUUAUCUGUUCUAAAAAUUAUUGAAAUGGCGUGGAACAAUUACAGAAAUAUGAUGUAAGGUGAUAAAAACUGUUUGCCUUCAGUGAAAUCUAUUUAUAUCUAAUUACCAAACUUGGUCGAAAUCAAAUGGUUCUACGGUUUGAGAUCCUUCUUUAAUGUAUUUUGGUACUACUUGUAGCUUUUGAUUGGUUGAUUCAUAUCCCUGCUAUACAGCCCAUAAAUACUGUAUUUCGGAACUCCUCUUAGCUUUUGAUUGGUCGAUUCAUAUCCCUUCUAUACAGCCUCUAAAUACUGUACUUCGGAACGCCUGGUAGCUUUUGAUUGGUCGAUUCAUAUCCCUGCUAUACAGCAUCUAAAUACUGUACUUUCGGAACUCCUCAUAGCUCUUGAUUGGUUGAUUCAUAUCCCUGCUGUACAGACCCUAAAUGCUGUAUUUCGGAACUCCUCGUAGUUUUCAUUUGGUUGAUUCACAUUCUUGCUAAUAUAUAUAAUCACUAAAUAUAUUUUGGCUCCCCUUUAGAAUACAAUAUUGAAACCCUUUCUUCCCAUGGUCAUAUUGACCCCCCCCCCUAUUAUCUACUUUGAUUUGAAAACCAUGUUAGAAUGUUAUAAUUACUUUACUGAGGAUUAAUAAAAAAUGUUGAGGAAUGCUAAACACUUUAAUAAGAUGCUAAUUUUGAAAAUGUUUGUAGCAUUGAAAGCAUGGCAGAAUGGAAAGUUUUCAGAAAAUUUUUUGAGGCAGACAAAAUGAUCAUAUUUUUUUUAUGAAACAAAGAUAACACUUUCCAUGUGACAAUGCUGUUCAUGGCUACAAUGGAAAUGUUCAAUGAGUAAAAAGGUAUGAUGAGGGCAGCUUUGUUUUUACUUUCCCUUUUCCAGACCCCAUUUACUGCAGUAUUUUAUUUACGUUUGUUUUAUCUGUUUUUCUGUGUUGUUUUCUGAUUUGCGUACAACCGUUAUGUUUGCAGGGAUAUAAAAGUUGCUUCCAAUGUUGUCUGUAUCAACAACAGUUCUCACCAACUUCUUACUUCUCUAGACCCAACAACUGUAAAAUUUGUUAAAGUAUUUAAUUUUUGUUAUUUGAUUUUAUUUCUUCUGCAAAGGAUUUUUUAAAAAGAAAUUUGUUGCUUAGAGAUAUUUUUGCUCUGGUUAUAUUUUCGUGUAUUUAAGAAACUUCCAACUUGUUGAAUUCGACCUCUAUUUGGAGGUGGAAAAUGAUAUAAAAUCGUGAAGACUAUUCACUAAAUCCUAGGUCACACAUGCCCAAGAUAACGUAGCUUAUCGUACAUGAUUAAAGUCUAUUUCAGCUUAGUUUAAUGUACUAAUGUAGCAGUUUGCCAAAGUUUAACGUCUAAUUAAUUCACAUGUUAAACGUUCGGAGAUUAGUGAGGGGCGAUUUAUCUAUGAACAUGUUCAAAAGACCAUUACAGCAAGCACACGAUUUGGAACGUACUUUAGCAUACUUCCCCUCUACCCGAGUCAUCAGCCGUAAAUUACAUAUACAUAUUUUCAUUAUUGACCUUAAAUUUAACUUAUUUACCGUUUUGGGAACGUUGGGCUAUGUUAUUGAACGUACGUGUGACCUAGGCUUUGCUCACGUACUGAUCAGUGAUAUACGAAUCUGGCUAUCUUCGUUAAUCAUUUUGUCUUGAGAAACCACUUUUUGUUUUGAUAGAACUACAUGUACGUUUUCUGCAUUCUUGUUGUUAUAACGAAACGUUUGUGCAGUUGUUUGGAUGUAUAUGUACAAGGCUGUAGAGACGAGACAAUGAUAGAACAUAUUAGAUUAUAAAAGAAUUGUUGUCAGAAUUCAGAAUUUAUGGAUAUGUACAAAUAUAUAUUAUAUAUAUUGAUAUACAUUGUAUUAUAUUGAUGAAUAUUGUGACGUAUAAAAAUCAAUUUUUAAAUUCUUUAUUUUAAAGAAUCGUGCUUUUUGACCAAUAUGACAUUUUCUUUUUAUCAGGGUAGUUUUUCUCAUGUUGGCCGAUAGACGAGCUGUUAUCUGUAAUUACUGUCACAUAUCCCUCCUGUAUGAGGUUGGAGUCAUAAAACUGUGAACUAAAAUGUAUAUAUAAUUUCAUUAACCAUUCUAUGGGAUUCUGCGGACCUUACUAUCAUUUAACAUUAGACGUAUUAGGAUUCAUUUGGCAUUAGAUGUAUGAGGAUUUACGAUACGAGUUUGCUUACUUGAUUUAAUUUUGUUUUAUUUGAGUUUGGGUUCUUUGACUAAAGUUUGGGGGUUUCUGAUUCCAAAGUUUGGGGAUUUUUUAUUCGAAAGUUCAGGGAUUUCUGUUUCGAAAGUCUGGGGAUUUCUGAUUCCAAAUUUUGGGAUUUCUGAUUCGAAUCUCUGGGGGUUUCUAAACCCCAUAAUUGAUUUUAGACUGGGAAAAACUGAUGUUCUGCGACUGGUCAUAAUAGUAACAUCCCUGAUUUAUACAUGACCUGACUUUGUCCCCUCCCCUUUCGCCGGCCCCUCCCCCUAAAUCCUAACCUUCACUAUGGAGACCCCAUGUGACAGUAAUAACAGGCUACACACGUCUAUCCUUAUUGGCUAUGUGCUAAGCACACAAACGAACACUCAUACGUAGAUUAGCAUAGAAACCAAAAAUCAUGUUUACCCACGGGUAAUAUUUACAACCCUGUGCGAAAGCUCCAUGUUAUAAAACACUUGCAUUUAAUUUCAAAACUUUAUUUUUUAUUGAAAAAUUUGCAAGUGUACAUCGCUUCAUUAAUCAUCGCUACGAUCAUUGUGUACUAAGUUCGGUAGCAUGUAGUGUUAAAUAGAACUUCUAUGUCAGUAAUUGAUAUCAGAAGUAUAUAAUUUGACACUCCCUAUUUUUUAAUUUUGUAUGUAACAUACAAAUAUAUAUUUCCAUGCCAAAUUUGUUUUUACCUUGUAGAAUAUUUAUUUUUCGUUUUAGAAACUUGUACAUGCCUAACAGAAAUUGUUUUACGGGCAGAACUGUGUGACUGGUAUAUUAAUACAUAGAUACUGGAAUCCACUUACGCAAUAGUGUUUGAGCUUUGAUACAGUGUGAAAUAUGACGCCAAAACAUGGUAAGCAUUAAAGACACUUUAAAGUCAUUUGUAGCGUUUAAUUAGUGUGGUAAUUAAGAUCAAGGUAAAUCCUUUCGGAAAAAUUAGAAAUAAUUUCUUACUCCCCAUCUCGAUUACAAAUACAGUCAAACCUGCUCUAACGGCCACCCCUCUUAAGCGGCCAGUCUGUGGUCUGCCCGAUGGAAAACACUAUAUAAUGAACCUUAAAUAAGCGGUCACCUGUCUAACGUAGCCAGCGGCCACAAAAAUUUGCCCCAAGUCGUUGUAUCUUCCUGUAUUAAGCGGCCAUUUUGUCCGGAAGUAGACAUCCGCGAUGAUCACAUGACCAAAUAUUUUUAUCAAAUUCAUCAAAACUUUUAUCUUUGUUGGUUUUCAUUUCAAAAUACACUAAAGAUGGUAUAUUGUUAUCAAUAUCAAUAAGUGCAUUAUGAUAUGAUAAAUUCAAUAAACUGCAUAAAAAAGAAUUGGGCAACAGGCCGUUUCUGACCAACCUGGUUUAAGCAGCCACCUGUCUUAAGCAGCCAAUAUCUGUUGGUCCCUUGGGUGGCCGCUUAAUACAGGUUUGACUGUAGUGUAAUACCUGUUUGGGAUGACAAAGUAAAGAAUAUUCUUGUUUAGGUAGUUAGGUAGAUAAAUUGCGCAGACCACGUUACUUUUAUCACUAAACCAGAAAUGAUCUCGAUCUGUAUGCAAAGACAGGUUUCAAUGAUUAGAUGGCUAUUGAUCACCGAUUGACUUUCUCUCCACAAUAUGUCUGAAGAAUACUGUUUAAUAAAAUGUUUGUAUAGAAAAAAAACUAUGUUUUUUAGUAACACACAAAAAAAUACCUGGAAAAAUCUUUUUUCACGAAAUACUUGUAUAGUAAGUAAUUAGGGUUGAGAUUUUCAGUUUCACACAAAAAGAUCUGGAAAAUAUUUCCCAAAAUAUUUGUAUAGUAAGAAUUACGUUUUUUCAGUUACACAAAAAAUAUCUGGAAAAUACCAAUAAAUAUAUGGAAAAUAUUUCACAAAAUAUUUGAAUAGUACAAGAAUUAUGUUUUUUCAGUUACACACAAAAUAUAUCUGGAAAUACCACAAAAAUAUCUUGAAAUAUUUCAGAAAAUCUUUGUAUAGAAAAAAGCGAUGGUUUUUAGUAACACACAAACAUAAAAAUAAUGAUAACGAGGUUAAAAUCUUGGUGUAUAUAAUUGUAAGUUAUCGGUUAAGCAGUAAGAAGUCUAACAGAAAUCAAAUUAUAUCGCUCAACGCGGUGUGUGUGAUGUUAAAGUUGUGGUAUAAUGUGAAAUACUUCAUGUUUAGAAGUUCACAGUGUUCUGAAGAAUAGUGUUUUCUAUAGCCCUAGUUCAGAAUUAUAGCUGACGCCAAAAAUUAAAAUGAAAUCAAAAUCACAUUGUGUGUUGAUGAUAAAAUUAGUCCAGUAAUGUUGUAUAUUUUAGACGGAUAAAUAUACCCUGGUAUUAAUUCUUAAGUUUAAAAAAGGAAAGAAAAAUAUACAUAAUCAAAAUAUUUGUUUUCGCAUAUGAUCAUCCGAAUUAUAUUCUAACAGAUGAAAGUAACAGACAUGUAUUCAGUUACACAGCUUAAUAUUUUUACUAAUUAUCAUGUGCCAAGUGUAUUUUAGAAGAUUCAAUUUUCCAACUAAAUUUGCCAAGGAAAGUUGGAGGAAACUGCCGGAUGCUUUCUUUAGAGGUACAAAAUUUUUUGUUUGAUGAAAUUUUUUUCUUCUUUUUUUUCAGAUGCUUCCAAGCAAAUAAUGAUAAUAUUACAAGUUUUAUUUGUAUUAAUGGAUGUAGCUCAAUUCAUUUUGUACUUCUCCAGGUACAUUUUGUGUAUUAUAAGUGGCGGGACCACCAAUAAGAUCAAAGGUACAAAAAUACAGGCACACCCCAAUGAUCGUGUGUGGCAGGCCCACCAAUGAGAUCAAAGUAUUAACUGCGAAUAUCUUACGUUAUUAUAUCAAUUUCCUUAAAAGUGAAACUAUAUUCAAAUAUAUAGAAAUAACCAGUAACAAUGAUAAGACCAGAAUGGUUUAGUAUUCAGUCAGGGAAUCGUCAUAUUCUUAAUCAAGAUAUCAUUUCAUGUUCAUAUUGAAAUUCUUCUGACACAGAAUCACUCUUUGUUAAGAGAUUGUCAGCUGGCGAACCUAUUUUCACCAGAUUUCAAUAUUCUUACAAUCUUUCACUAAGUUUACAGACAAACCUCAUUAAUUUUAAAAUGAUCUCUACCUCAUUUCCCCUAACGCACAUUAGUCUUUUUGUAUAUGUCCUGAUUGCAUAAUAAUAUCUGUGUGUAGUCAAAUAGUGAUCGUUUGAUUAAAUGUUGUGUAACCACGCGCCACAUGACGGUAGUUAAUCUUUGAUUCUAGUGGUCUGAUGUUAUCAGUGUUAAUGUAAAGAAAAUGUUUGAAAGAAGCUGCGUACAUGUGUUAGAUAACUAGAUCUUAAUAAACUCAGACUUCAUGGUCUUAAGAUAACUAGACCUUAAUAAACUCGGACGUCAUGGUCUUAAGAUAACUAGAUCUUAAUAAACUCGGACGUCAUGGUCUUAAGAUAACUAGAUCUUAAUAAACUAAGACGUCAUUGUCUAUGUAAGAGGCCUUUAGAUAACUAGAUCUUAAUAAACUCGGACGUCAUGGUCUUAAGAUAACUAGAUCUUAAUAAACUCGGACGUCAUUGUUUAUGUAAGAGGGCUGUAGAUAAGGGCUGUAGAUAACUAGAUCUUAAUAAACUCGGACGUCAUUGUCUUAAGAUAACUAGAUCUUAAUAAACUCAGACUUCAUGGUCUUAAGAUAAUUAGAUCUUAAUAAACUAAGACGUCAUUGUCUAUGUAAGAGGGCUGUAGAUAACUAGAUCUUAAUAAACUAAGACGUCAUUGUCUAUGUAAGAGGACCUUAAAACUAGAUCUUAAUAAACUCGGACGUCAUUGUUUAUGUAAGAGGACCUUAAAACUAUAUCUUAAUAAAUUAAGACGUCAUUGUCUAUGUAACAGGGCCUAAGAUAACUAGAUCUUAAUAAACUCUGAUGUCAUUGUCUGUGUAAGAGGCCUAAGAUAACUAGAUCUUAAUAAACUCUGACUUCAUGGUCUAUGUAAGAGGACCUUAAAACUAGAUCUUAAUAAAUUAAGACGUCAUUGUCUAUGUAACAGGGCCUAAGAUAACUAGAUCUUAAUAAACUAAGACAUCAUUGUCUAUGUAAGAGGGACUUAGAUAACUAGAUCUUAAUAAACACAGACGUCAUGGUCUAUUUAAUGGGUGUUAAGAUAACUAGAUCUUAAUAAACUCUGAUGUCAUUGUCUGUGUAAGAGGCCUAAGAUAACUAGAUCUUAAUAAACUCUGACUUCAUGGUCUAUGUAAGAGGACCUUAAAACUAGAUCUUAAUAAAUUAAGACGUCAUUGUCUAUGUAACAGGGCCUAAGAUAACUAGAUCUUAAUAAACUCGGACUUCAUGGUCUAUGUAAGAGGGCCUUAGAUAACUAGAUCUUAAUGAAGUAAGACUUCACUGUCUAUGUAAGAGGGCCUAAGAUAAUUAGAUCUUAACGAAGUAAGACGUCAUUGUCUAUGUAACAGGGCCUAAGAUAACUAGAUCUUAAUAAACUCGGACUUCAUGGUCUAUGUAAGAGGGCCUUAGAUAACUAGAUCUUAAUGAAGUAAGACUUCACUGUCUAUGUAAGAGGGCCUAAGAUAAUUAGAUCUUAACGAAGUAAGACGUCAAUGUCUAUGUAAAAGGACCUAAGAUAACUAGAUCUUAAUAAACUCAGACUUCAUGGUCUAUGUAAGGGGACCUAAGAUAACAAGAUCUUAAUAAACUUUUGGAUUAUAUGGUAGUUUCGCUUGGCCUUUUAUCAAUUUUUGUCAAAGCUUAAUAUAAUAUCCUGAUGGAAAAAUUGUUAAUCUAGAUGACUCUUUAUAGCUUUAAAUUGAUUCUAUCGUGAAACUUGUGACGUCCUUUUACUGGCAAACCAUUUUCCUGAAUUCCUGGCGGUAUAAGGCAAAUAUUAAGUACAUGAUUGUACAGUACGAACAUUUUAAACGACGGGUAAGAAUUUUUAGCUGCUGCUUUUCUUGACUUCUCCUUCCUUUAUUGGAGAUUCAAGAUGUGAGGUCUGAUAUUGGAGAUCGGGAAACACAUGUAUUAAUGAAAUGCUGUUCUUAGGGAUGUGAUGAUUAAUUAGUCGAGGCUGUUUUCUGUAGCGCACAAUUAUUUUUUGUUAGUAGUGAAGACACUUUAACUCGUUCAUUGUGAGAGAAGAUGUGUGUAUAUUGGAAUUGUCAGUAAGACUGACUGUUACAAGCAGAACGCUAUUUAUCUUUCGUGUAGAAACAAUGACAUAUUGUCAUCUAUAGUAACUAUAUGAAAUAGACACGUUAUUAUAUAUUUUAGUCCCUGGUCCAAUUUUUUUCACAAAAAACUUUUUUCGGCAGAUUUCCCAUAAUUACUUUUUUUAACAAUAGUACUUUCAAUAAUUGCCAUUUUAAAUAAAAAGAUACUUUGUUUAUAUUUUAUAAUGUUGUGAUGUUGAAAGCAUGUUAUUCAUUUUUAAUGUUCAUUCAAUAUCAUAUUGAAAGUACAGACAAUUUGGCAAUACUUUAUUUAUAAACAUGUUUUUAAGAAAAAAAUUAACCUUUAAAAUGAAGGUUUUUUUUGUGUUAAAAAAAUCUGGGCAAGGACGUUCGGCAACUGGCUUUAAUCCUUGUUUUUGUGAUAUCUGUUACUGAUCGUAAUUCUGUUAUUCUAUACAGAUGCCAUAUCUCGCCCUGGGAGUCCCGUGUGGCCCCACGGGCGGGGAAGUUUGGCCUCUUCGUUGUUGUGUUUUAACGUGAUAUGAUAAUACAGGCCAUAGCUUCAAAUUAAGUGCUGCAUAUACAUAUGUCAUUAGUUCAUUCAUGAUAUUCUUUCAUUCCUUCAUUAUGUCAUUGAACCAUUCGACCAUGACUUCGUCGCUGACGAUGGCAUGUCGUAAUGAAUGUAACCAUGGGGAUAUAAUUUUUUCCUCUAUCGCUGAACGUAAAUGAUAAGAAAUAAUGUUUUAAUGUAAUCCAAAAAGAAAGUUCCGCUUUCCAUUAAAAGAAAGAAUUAUUGUUGCAAAAGUUGAAAAAAUUGCUCUGAUAUAUUUCAAUAUUAAAUGAAGAUUUCCAGUAUAUCAUUAGAUAUUUUCUAAACCAAAGGAAAUGACCUUCUAUAAAAUCUCUACACAUUUGUUGUCAUCUGCUGUCACCAUGGUGACCAUUGUUGCCUUGGUGAGGUAGUUGAUGUAUUGUCAUGGUUACAUUCUCCUCCAUUGUUGUUUAUUUUCAUGUUUCCCACUGGUGCUAGUAAACCCGGUGGUUAUUACCUCAGCGGAUCAUGUUGUCUAUUACGUCAUUAUUACGUGGAUUAAAGAAGCUUUAAUACUGAA